GGAUGUGAGGGUGAUUUGGCUGUGACAUCUGUCACCCCAUUGAUCUGCAGGGUUGAUUUGGCUGGUGUGGCUGGCUAGGCGAGUGUCCCCCUGCUCCUUCACUGUUCCAUGUGUGUCCCUAGGACAAACUUCCAUAGAGGUGGAGUGUUCUUCAGUCAAGGACGUAUGAGUAGCCAAACUCCACUGCUAGCACCUUCAAUCAGUUGUCCAAGUCCAUUGGUAGGAAAACGUAGGUUAGUCAAGCUUCCAAGGCUCCAGACACAUUUAAAUGAGGCGCUGCAUGUGGUCAUCUGCCUUUCU
rnacentral:snRNA from 1 species